rnacentral:rRNA from 1 species
UAGGGAAUAUUGCGCAAUGGACGAAAGUCUGACGCAGCCACGCCGCGUGAGUGAGGAAGGCCUUCGGGUUGUAAAGCUCUGUCGCCUGGGAAAAACGGCUAUUGGGGGAAAGUUCCAGUAGCGUGAUGGUACCAGGAGAGGAAGCACCGGCAAACUCUGUGCCAGCAGCCGCGGUAAUACAGAGGGUGCAAGCGUUGUUCGGAAUUACUGGGCGUAAAGCGUGCGUAGUCGGUAUUGAGAGUCGCGGGUGAAAUCCCAGGGCUUAACCCUGGAACUGCCUGCGAGACCUCAGUACUAGAGUGUGAGAGGGGAUAGUGGAAUACCCAGUGUAGCGGUGAAAUGCGUAGAGAUUG